rnacentral:tRNA from 1 species
GCCCGGGUGGCUCAGUUGGUUAAGCAUAUGACUUUGACUCAGGUCAUGAUCUCACAGUUUGUGGGUUUGAGCCCCACAUCGGGCU